rnacentral:miRNA from 1 species
CUCAAUGCUGCUUCUAUCACA